GCGGACGUGGCGGAAUUGGCAGACGCGCUAGAUUUAGGCUCUAGUGUUGAGAGACGUGAGUGUUCAAGUCACUUCGUCCGCACCA
rnacentral:tRNA from 1 species